rnacentral:rRNA from 1 species
AGAGUUUGAUUCUGGCUCAGGACGAACGCUGGCGGCGUGCUUAACACAUGCAAGUCGAACGAUGAAGCCUAGCUUGCUAGGUGGAUUAGUGGCGAACGGGUGAGUAAUACGUGAGUGACCUACCUUUGACUCUGGGAUAAGCCUGGGAAACUGGGUCUAAUACCGGAUACGACCAAUCUCCGCAUGGGGUGUUGGUGGAAAGCGUUAUGGAGUGGUUUUAGAUGGGCUCACGGCCUAUCAGCUUGUUGGUGAGGUAAUGGCUUACCAAGGCGACGACGGGUAGCCGGCCUGAGAGGGUGACCGGCCACACUGGGACUGAGACACGGCCCAGACUCCUACGGGAGGCAGCAGUGGGGAAUAUUGCACAAUGGGCGCAAGCCUGAUGCAGCGACGCCGCGUGAGGGAUGACGGCCUUCGGGUUGUAAACCUCUGUUAGCAUCGAAGAAGCGAAAGUGACGGUAGGUGCAGAGAAAGCGCCGGCUAACUACGUGCCAGCAGCCGCGGUAAUACGUAGGGCGCGAGCGUUGUCCGGAAUUAUUGGGCGUAAAGAGCUUGUAGGCGGUUGGUCGCGUCUGCUGUGAAAGGCUGGGGCUUAACCCUGGUUUUGCAGUGGGUACGGGCUAACUAGAGUGCAGUAGGGGAGACUGGAAUUCCUGGUGUAGCGGUGGAAUGCGCAGAUAUCAGGAGGAACACCGAUGGCGAAGGCAGGUCUCUGGGCUGUAACUGACGCUGAGAAGCGAAAGCAUGGGGAGCGAACAGGAUUAGAUACCCUGGUAGUCCAUGCCGUAAACGUUGGGCACUAGGUGUGGGGGGCAUUCCACGUUUUCCGCGCCGUAGCUAACGCAUUAAGUGCCCCGCCUGGGGAGUACGGCCGCAAGG